rnacentral:lncRNA from 1 species
CUGAAGAGGAGUCCUGAACAAAACAAAAUCAAUAUUCAUUUUCCAGGAAAAUACAGUAUAAUCAGAACUUUAAACACAUGCUUCUCUCAUCUGUGUUAAGGCCUAGGAGACAGAUGUGCUUUAAUAAAAGCAGACAGUAUGAAGAAAAGUCCUUCCACUUUUCUCUUCAAAUUCCUGUAACAGCUCAUCUAUUUCAUUUUCCAUGUCUUCUGUGUGCUGUAUACACUGGCAGAGCUCACAGAUAAGGAAGGCACCCAGCGUUGCCUCCUCAUGGUUAUCCUGAAUGUCCACAUUGAUCACAUGCACUGGCUGACAUGUCUCUUGCUCUCUGGAAUUUAAGUCUUCUACUACUUGAUCAUAGACUCUUUCUUCACACGUUAGGAUCAAAUCAAAAACGUCUUUGCAGUUCUGGAAUCUCUCCGGCCGUGGCUUGAUUCUCUUAUUUCUGUCCAACAUAUGUAAAAUCCCAUUCUGUGUGUAUAGUUCUUUGUCUUUCCUAAGCAGAUCAUUGUACAUCUGAUCAUAUGUUGUUUUGAAAUCAUAAACAUUUGGCUUGUCCGGUGCUGGUCCUGGCAGUUUCACGUGAGUCCCUGUUCCAAAGGAUCGGACGCUGAAUCCUCGUUUGCUGAGGAUAUUGUGUGCCUCCAUGCUGCGGUUCUGGUUGCUCGAGCACACCACGGCCACACGGAGCGGCGAAGAAGGCAUGGCGGCGCAGGGAAGAGCCCAGCUCGUUCCCCACGGCUCCCAAGCCUGCGCUACCCCGCCGGCGGCUCACACAAAAUGGCGGCCGCGGCGCGGCGGCGGGCGGGGCCGGGACGUGUCAGCAGGGCAGCGCCGC